rnacentral:rRNA from 1 species
UACGUAGGGUGCGAGCGUUAAUCGGAAUUACUGGGCGUAAAGCGUGCGCAGGCGGCUUUGCAAGACAGAUGUGAAAUCCCCGGGCUCAACCUGGGAACUGCAUUUGUGACUGCAAAGCUGGAGUGCGGCAGAGGGGGAUGGAAUUCCGCGUGUAGCAGUGAAAUGCGUAGAUAUGCGGAGGAACACCGAUGGCGAAGGCAAUCCCCUGGACCUGUACUGACGCUCAUGCACGAAAGCGUGGGGAGCAAACAGG